rnacentral:rRNA from 1 species
AGUGAACGCUGGCGGCGUGCCUAAUACAUGCAAGUCGAACGGAGUGGCGGACGGGUGAGUAAUAUCUGGCUAAUCUGCCCCUUGCGGGAGGUCAACAGUUAGAAAUGACUGUUAAUACUCCAAAGCAAGGGAUGUGCCUAUAUCGUAUCAGCUAGUCGGUGGGGUAACGGCCGACCGAGGCUACGACGCGUAACUGGUCUGAGAGGAUGAUCAGUCACAUUGGAAGUGAGGCAGGUGCCAAACUCCUACGAGAGGGGGCAGUAGCGUAUAUUGCGCAAUGGGGGUGAGCCUGGCGCGGCAUCGCCGCGUGGAGCAUGACACUCUUCGAGGCGUAAACUCCUGUUGUUAGGGAUGCGUUACCUAACGAAUAAGCACCGGCUAACUCCGUGCCAGCAGCCGCGGUAAUUC